ACAUCCAUGGAACUUUUCAGAGAUGAGAAUGUGCCUUCGGGAACCGUGAGACAGGUGCUGCAUGGCUGUCGUCAGCUUGUGUUGUGAAAUGUUGGGUUAAGUCCCGCAACGAGCGCAACCCUUAUCUUUUGUUGCCAGCGGUCCGGCCGGGAACUCAAAGGAGACUGCCAGUGAUAAACUGGAGGAAGGUGGGGAUGACGUCAAGUCAUCAUGGCCCUUACGACCAGGGCUACACACGUGCUACAAUGGCGCAUACAAAGAGAAGCGACCUCGCGAGAGCAAGCGGACCUCAUAAAGUGGGUCGUAGUCCGGAUUGGAGUCUGCAACUCGACUCCAUGAAGUCGGAAUCGCUAGUAAUCGUGGAUCAGAA
rnacentral:rRNA from 1 species